UUGCAGGUUCUCCCUGUGAUCGCGUGGCUUUCCGCCGGGUGCUCCGGUUUCCUCGCAUAACCCAAGGAUGUGAGGGUUUGUAAGUGUAUUGGGCUCUAUACAUUGCCCCUGAUGUGUGGGGAGUGGAAGACAAAGCGGGAUAACACAAAACUGGUGA